rnacentral:rRNA from 1 species
UACAGAGGUCUCAACCGUUGUUCGGAUUCAUUGGGCGUAAAGGGUGCGUAGGCGGUCAGCACAAGUCAGUUGUGAAAUCUCCGGGCUUAACUCGGAAAGGUCAACUGAUACUGUGCGACUAGAGUGCAGAAGGGGCAACUGGAAUUCUCGGUGUAGCGGUGAAAUGCGUAGAUAUCGAGAGGAACACCUGCGGCGAAGGCGGGUUGCUGGGCUGACACUGACGCUGAUGCGCGAAAGCCAGGGGAGCGAACGGG